rnacentral:rRNA from 1 species
AUGAACGUUGGCGGCGUGGAUUAGGCAUGCAAGUCGUGCGGAAAGGCUCCUUCGGGAGUACUCGAGCGGCGAAAGGGAGAGUAACGCGUGGAUAUCUACCCCCUGGACUGGGAUAGCGGCGGGAAACUGCCGGUAAUACCGGAUAAUGUCUGCGGACCAAAGGUGUGAUUCCGCCGGGGGAUGAGUCCGCGUCCUAUUAGCUUGUUGGUGGGGUAAUGGCCUACCAAGGCCAAGAUGGGUACCGGGUGUGAGAGCAUGGCCCGGCUCACUGGGACUGAGACACUGCCCAGACACCUACGGGUGGCUGCAGUCGAGAAUCUUCGGCAAUGGGCGCAAGCCUGACCGAGCGACGCCGCGUGCGGGAUGAAGGCCUUCGGGUUGUAAACCGCUGUCAGAGGGGAGGAAAUGCAUGGGAGUUCUCUCUCAUGUUUGACCUAUCCUCAGAGGAAGUACGGGCUAAGUUCGU